rnacentral:rRNA from 1 species
CAAUAGCGUAUAUUAAAGUUGUUGCGGUUAAAAAGCUCGUAGUUGGAGUUCUGCCAGGUGCCGCCUGUCCGCCCCAGUGGUGAGUACGUGGCGCGCAUUUGGCCCUUUCAAGGGGAGCGUAUCUGCACUUUAUUGUGUGGUGCGGGAUCCUUGACUUUUACUUUGAGGAAAUAGGAGUGUUCCAAGCAGGCUCUCGUCGUGCACAGCUCAGCAUGGAAUAAUAGCAUUGGACCUCGAUUCUAAGCUGUUGGUUGCCAGAAGCGAGGUAAUGAUGAAGAGGGAUAGUUGGGGGCAUUCGUAUUUAACUGUCAGAGGUGUAAUUCUUGGAUUUGUUAAAGACGGACUACUGCGAAAGCAUCUGCCAUGGAUGUUUUCAUUGA